UACGGAGGGAGCUAGCGUUAUUCGGAAUUACUGGGCGUAAAGCGUACGUAGGCGGCUUUGUAAGUUAGAGGUGAAAGCCCGGAGCUCAACUCCGGAACUGCCUUUAAGACUGCAUCGCUUGAAUCCAGGAGAGGUGAGUGGAAUUCCGGAGUGUAGAGGUGAAAUUCGUAGAUAUUCGGAAGAACACCAGUGGCGAAGGCGGCUCACUGGACUGGUAUUGACGCUGAGGUACGGAAAGCGUGGGGAGCAAACAGG
rnacentral:rRNA from 1 species